rnacentral:tRNA from 1 species
UGGGUUGUGGCUCAGAGGUAGAGCACUCGCCUAGCACGUGUGAGGCACUGGAUUCGAUCCUCAGCACCACAU